rnacentral:lncRNA from 1 species
GUAGGAAAUUCUUUUCCAAUUGCAUCUCAUGCAACUCUCAGCAUCUUUCUACCUCUAAAAUAUUCAUAGCCUUGUGGUUGCACAACAAACUAUAAUAUUUUAGUUAAGUUAGACCCUUCAUUUUCAUACAGUCAUAUCUGAAUGAUGUUGCCCUUGUGGUUGCAUAACAAAAUAACAUAUCCAAAAUACUGUAAGCAUCAAAUAUGCACUAACACAACCUCACAUCAAUCUCCAUAAUAAGCCUUGUGAUUGCACAAUAAACUUACUAUAGUUAUUGAUAUGAUAUUAGCUUAUCA